UGUCGUGACUGCGUGCCUUUUGAAGAAUGAGCCUGCGAGUUUGCGGUGUGUUGCGAGGUUAACCCGUGUGGGGAAGCCGUAGCGAAAGCGAGUCCGAAUAGGGCGAUUUUAGUAGCGCGCCCAAGACCCGAAGCGGAGUGAUCUAGCCAUGGGCAGGUUGAAGCGGAGGUAAGACUUCGUGGAGGACCGAACCCACCAGGGUUGAAAACCUGGGGGAUGACCUGUGGUUAGGGGUGAAAGGCCAAUCAAACUCCGUGAUAGCUGGUUCUCCCCGAAAUGCAUUUAGGUGCAGCGUCGUGUGUUUCUUGCCGGAGGUAGAGCACUGGAUAGGCGAUGGGCCCUACCGGGUUACUGACCUUAGCCAAACUCCGAAUGCCGGUAAGUGAGAGCGCGGCAGUGAGACUGUGGGGGAUAAGCUCCAUGGUCGAGAGGGAAACAGCCCAGAGCAUCGACUAAGGCCCCUAAGCGUACGCUAAGUGGGAAAGGAUGUGGAGUCGCAGAGACAACCAGGAGGUUGGCUUAGAAGCAGCCACCCUUGAAAGAGUGCGUAAUAGCUCACUGGUCAAGUGAUUCCGCGCCGACAAUGUAGCGGGGCUCAAGCGUACCGCCGAAGUCGUGUCAUUGCAG
rnacentral:rRNA from 1 species